rnacentral:rRNA from 1 species
AGUUUGAUUCUGGCUCAGAUUGAACGCUGGCGGGAUGCUUUACACACAAGUCGAACGGCAGCACGGACUUCGGUCUGGUGGCGAGUGGCGAAUGGGCAGUGAAUGCAUCGGACAGCCAGUAGCGGGGAUAACUACGCGAAAGCGUAGCUAUCACCGCAUACGCCCUUCGGGGGAAAGCGGGGACCUUUCGGGCCUCGCACUAUUAGAGCGGCUUCGGAUAUCGAUUAGCUGUUGGUGGGGUAACGGCUCACCAAGAUAUUAUCCAGCUGGCGUUUGAGAGGACACUGCGUCACACUGGGACUGGAGACACGGCCCAGAUCUGCCGGGAGGCAGCAGUGGGGAAUUUUGGACAAUGGGGGAAACCCUGAUCCAGCCAUAUCCUGCAAGACAAGGCCUUCGGGGUUGUAAAGCACUUUUGGCAGGAAGAAAACGGCACGGGAUAAUGCCCCGCAACUGACGGCACCGUAAUAGCGCCACCCAGCUAACUACGUGCCAGCAGCCGCGGUAAUACGUAGGUGCAAAAGCGUUAAUCGGAAUUACUGGGCGGUAGAGCGUGCGCAGCGCGUGGUCUGGAAAGAAAGAUGUGAAAUCCCAGAGCUUAACUUUGGAACUGCAUUUAAACUACUGGAGCUAGCGUAUUGUAGAGGAGGGACUCCGCGUGUAGCAGUGAAAUGCGUAGAUAUGCGGAGGAACACCGAUGGCGAAGGCAGCCUCCUGGGAUAACACUGACGCUCAUGCACGAAAGCGUGGGGAGCAAACAGAUUAGAUACCCUGGUAGUCCACGCCCUAAACGAUGUCAACUAGCUGCUGGGGCCUUCGGGCCUCUGGUAGCGCAGCUGGUCGCGUGAAGUUGACCGCCUGUAUAGCUGGUCGAUUAAAACUCAAAGAAUGACGGGGACCGUACAAGCAGGGAUGAUGUGGAUUAAUUGAUGGUACCGAAAACCUUACCUACCCUUGACAUGUCUGGAAUCCCGAAGAGAUUUGGGAGUGCUCGCAAGAGGUCCGGAACACAGCGUAUGGCUGUCGUCAGCUCGUGUCGUGAGAUGUUGCUGUCUCGCAACGAGCGCAACCUUGUCAUUAGUUGCUACGAAGUUGCACUUAGACGAGAUCGCCGGUGACAAACUGGAGGAAGGUGGGAUGACGUCAAGUCCUCAUGGCCCUGCGGGGUAGGGCUUCACACUGGGCACAACACGGUCGGGACAGAGGGUCGCCAAAUCCGCGAGGGGAGCCAAUCCCAGAAACCCGAUCGUAGUCCGGAUCGCAGUCAGCAACUCGAUCGCAAGUCGGAAUCGCUAGUAAUCGCGGAUCAGCAUGUCGCGGUGAAUACGUCUCUGGUCUUGUACACACCGCCCGUCACACCUGGAGUGGGUUUUACCAGAAGUAGUUAGCCUAACCGUAAGGAGGGCGAUUACCACGGUAGGAUCUAUGACUGGGGUGAAGUCGCAACAAGGCA